UACGUAGGGGGCUAGCGUUGUCCGGAAUCAUUGGGCGUAAAGAGCGUGUAGGCGGUCCGGUAAGUCCGCUGUGAAAGUCGGGGGCUCAACCCUCGAAUGCCGGUGGAUACUGUCGGGCUAGAGUGCGGAGGAGGAGACUGGAAUUCCUGGUGUAGCGGUGGAAUGCGCAGAUAUCAGGAGGAACACCGGUGGCGAAGGCGGGUCUCUGGGCAGUAACUGACGCUGAGGAGCGAAAGCGUGGGGAGCGAACAGG
rnacentral:rRNA from 1 species